rnacentral:rRNA from 1 species
AGUUGCGAAGGCGGCUCUCUGGACUGUAACUGACGCUGCGGCACGAAAGCGUGGGGAGCAAACAGGAUUAGAUACCCUGGUAGUCCACGCUGUAAACGAUGAGUACUAGGUGUCGGGGGUUACCCCCCUCGGUGCCGCAGCUAACGCAUUAAGUACUCCGCCUGGGAAGUACGCUCGCAAGAGUGAAACUCACAGGAAUUGACGGGGACCCGCACAAGUAGCGGAGCAUGUGGUUUAAUUCGAAGCAACGCGAAGAACCUUACCUAAGCUUGACAUCCCAAUGACAUCUCCUUAAUCGGAGAGUUCCCUUCGGGGACAUUGGUGACAGGUGGUGCAUGGUUGUCGUCAGCUCGUGUCGUGAGAUGUUGGGUUAAGUCCCGCAACGAGCGCAACCCUUGUCUUUAGUUGCCAUCAUUAAGUUGGGCACUCUAGAGAGACUGCCAGGGAUAACCUGGAGGAAGGUGGGGAUGACGUCAAAUCAUCAUGCCCCUUAUGCUUAGGGCUACACACGUGCUACAAUGGGUAGUACAGAGGGUUGCCAAGCCGUAAGG